rnacentral:rRNA from 1 species
GACGAACGCUGGCGGCGUGCUUAACACAUGCAAGUCGAACGGGCCUUGUCCCCUUUUUUUUUGGGGGUGGGGUUAGUGGCGAACGGGUGAGUAACACGUGAGUAACCUGCCCCUCACUUCUGGAUAACCGCUUGAAAGGGUGGCUAAUACGGGGUGUUCUGGCCUGCUCGCAUGGGUGGGUUUGGAAAGAUUCGACCGGUUUUGGUUGUUUUGGUGGGGGAUGGGCUCGCGGCCUCUCAGCUUGUUGGUGGGGUGAUGGCCUGCCAAGGGUUUGACGGGUAGCCGGCCUGAGAGGGUGGGCGGUCACACUGGGACUGAGACACGGCCCAGACUCCUACGGGAGGCAGCAGUGGGGAAUAUUGCACAAUGGGCGCAAGCCUGAUGCAGCGACGCCGCGUGAGGGAUGGAGGCCUUCGGGUUGUGAACCUCUUUCGCCAGUGAAGAAGGUCCUGCUCUUUGUGGUGGGGUUGACGGUAGCUGGGUUAAUGAAGCGCCGGCUAACUACGUG